GCCCGCAUGGCUCAGGGGUAGAGCGCAUCACUAGUAAUUCCUUCUGUUUUCUAGGCACGAGCCAAAGAGAUGGAAGUACCUAACUAGCUCAUGAUGAGGUCAUCAGUUCAAAUCUGAUUGUGGGCA